rnacentral:tRNA from 1 species
CAGGGCAUAGCUCAAUAGAAAAGCACCUCCCUUACACCGAGGAGACAUUCGUGCAACUCGAAUUGCUCUGA